ensembl:lncRNA
AAUCCACACCACGGGGCCCUCUGCAGUUGUAAGAAACUCUUGGCCUGUCCUGGGGUUUGGGGAAAUCAGGAUGCAAGCAGAUACCGUACGCUCUGCCACGGGACCGUGAAGUCUGCGGAACCUCAGAGGAACACGGAGACAAAUGGCUGCACGACUCCCACAGGCCGAGCCUCGAUGGGCGCCCGUGUCAAGAACACAGACACGCCGGGAGGGGCAGCCGAUGCAGGCAACGCCUGCAACUCCAGCAAGCAACAGCGUCUGAGUGUGGGGGUCUCUGGCCAGGCUCCACCACAACUGCCAUAUUCUGUGACAAAAUUUUAAAAAUAGGUUUUAACUAGUUAUAACUCUAACUUGUUUUACACAUAAACAGAACACAGGGUACCAACAGGCUCCAAAAUACUUUGCCUAGAACCAAGUCUAGAAUGCAGAUGGAUGCUGCUCCGAGUGUGAGGAGUCCCCUGUAGUGCCAUAAAUCCUAGAUCUAGGUGACUAAGUGCUCUUCCUAAACCAGACGGCACCAUGAGGCUCUGAGGGCACCCUCUGUCCCCAGGCCAGUCCAUCAGCCCCUGCAGAAGCUUCUAGAGUAAGAGCCUGUGGAUUUGUAUUGGACGGAUGUAAACCAGGCAAAGUCACAGGGGCUCGUCCUGGAAGCCCAUCCAUUUACCCACUCAUGCCGUGGAGAGCCCUGCCCCCAACUCCACACCCGCAAUCACGCUCAACCACAAGAACUGGCUUCUAGGCCCUCAAGCCACUCCCUCUCACCCCGGACAGACGCUUCUCAAACCAUGAGGCCCAGAGUAGUCUUAACAGGUGGUCCCAGCAGAACUGGCCACUGCAUGAAUUGAUAUUUUGUGUGUGGGGGGUGGUUGUUCUUCUGUCACUCAGGCACAGUGCACCAUAAGUACAGUGGUGCUAUCAUGGUUCACUGCAGCCUCAACCUGCCAGGUUUAAGAAAAACCAAUUCUAGGCUGGGCAUAGUGGCUCACACCUGUCAUCCCAGCACCUUGGGAGGCUGAGUUGGGCAGUUCACUUUUGAGCCCAGGAAUUCAAGACCAGCCUGGGCAACAUAGCAAGACCCUGACUCUACAAAAAAUUAAAUAGGAGAGGUGAUGUGCACCUGUGGUCCCAGCUACUCGGGAAGCUAAGGCUGGAGGAUGACCCAAGCCUGGCAGGUUGAGGCUGCAGUGAACCAUGAUAGCACCACUGUACUUAUGGUGCACUGUGCCUGAGUGACAGAAGAACAACCACCCCCCACACACAAAAUAUCAAUUCAUGCAGUGGCCAGUUCUGCUGGGACCACCUGUUAAGACUACUCUGGGCUCAUGGUUUGAGAAGCGUCUGUCCGGGGUCGAGAGGGAGUAGCUUGAGGGCCUAGAAGCCAGUUCUUGUGGUUGAGCGUGAUUGCGGGUGUGGAGUUGGGGGCAGGGCUCUCCACGGCAUGAGUGGGUAAAUGGAUGGGCUUCCAGGACGAGCCCCUGUGACUUUGCCUGGUUUACAUCCGUCCAAUACAAAUCCACAGGCUCUUACUCUAGAAGCUUCUGCCGGGGCUGAUGGACUGGCCUGGGGACAGAGGGUGCCCUCAGAGCCUCAUGGUGCCGUCUGGUUUAGGAAGAGCACUUAGUCACCUAGAUCUAGGAUUUAUGGCACUACAGGGGACUCGUCACACUCGGAGCAGCAGCCAUCUGCACUCUAGACUUGGUUCUAGGCGAAGUAUUUUGGAGCCUGUUGGUACCCUGUGUUCUGUUUAUCUGUAAAACAAGUUAGAGUUAUAACUAGUUAAAAUUUAUUUUUAAAAUUUUGCCACAGAAUAUGGCAGUUGUGGUGGAGCUUGGCCAGAGACCCCCACACUCAGACGCUGCUGCGUGCUGGGCUGCAAGCGUUGCCUGCAUUGGCUGCCCCUCCCGGUGUGUCUGUGUUCUUGACACGGGCGCUCGUCGAGGCU